AGAGUUUGAUCCUGGCUCAGGAUGAACGCUGGCGGCGUGCUUAACACAUGCAAGUCGAACGAUUAAACCACUUCGGUGGAUAUAGAGUGGCGAACGGGUGAGUAACACGUGGGCAACCUACCCCUCACACCGGGACAACUAUUGGAAACGAUAGCUAAUACCGGAUACUCCGUUUCCCUGGCAUCAGGGAUCCGGGAAAGCCCAGACGGUGAGGAAUGGGCCCGCGGUCCAUUAGCUAGUUGGUGAGGUAACGGCCCACCAAGGCGACGAUGGAUAGCCGGGUUGAGAGACCGACCGGCCACAUUGGGACUGAGACACGGCCCAGACUCCUACGGGAGGCAGCAGUGGGGAAUUUUGCGCAAUGGGGGAAACCCUGACGCAGCAACGCCGCGUGCGGGAUGAAGGCCUUCGGGUUGUAAACCGCUUUCAGCAGGGAAGAAACUGACGGUACCUGCAGAAGAAGCUCCGGCUAACUACGUGCCAGCAGCCGCGGUAAUACGUAGGGAGCAAGCGUUAUCCGGAUUCAUUGGGCGUAAAGAGUUCGUAGGCGGCACGUAAAGUCUGGUGUUAAAGGCAGAGGCUCAACUUCUGUAUGGCACUGGAUACUUGCGAGCUAGAAUGCGGUAGAGGUAAAGGGAAUUCCUGGUGUAGCGGUGAAAUGCUUAGAUAUCAGGAGGAACAUCGGUGGCGUAAGCGCUUUACUGGGCCGUAAUUGACGCUGAGGAACGAAAGCCAGGGUAGCAAAUGGGAUUAGAUACCCCAGUAGUCCUGGCCGUAAACGAUGGAUACUAGGUGUUGCGGGUAUCGACCCCUGCAGUGCCGAAGCAAACGCGAUAAGUAUCCCGCCUGGGGAGUACGCACGCAAGUGUGAAACUCAAAGGAAUUGACGGGGACCCGCACAAGCGGUGGAACAUGUGGUUUAAUUCGAAGCAACGCGAAAAACCUUACCAGGGCUUGACAUCUGACGAAUCCCGAUGAAAGUUGGGAGUGCUCUUCGGAGAGCGUCAAGACAGGUGGUGCACGGUUGUCGUCAGCUCGUGUCGUGAGAUGUUGGGUUAAGUCCCGCAACGAGCGCAACCCUCGUCGUUAGUUGGUGUUAUUGGUAUACUGAUAAUAAUCUCUCUAGCGAGACUGCCGGUGAUAAACCGGAGGAAGGUGGGGACGACGUCAAAUCAUCAUGCCCCUUAUGCUCUGGGCUACACACGUGUUACAAUGGGUAGGACAGCGAGCAGCGAACCAGUGAUGGCAAGCGAAUCUCUAAAACCUAUCCUCAGUUCGGAUUGCACUCUGCAACUCGAGUGCAUGAAGUCGGAAUCGCUAGUAAACGCAGAUCAGCACGCUGCGUUGAAUACGAUCCCGGGUCUUGCACUCACCGCCCGUCA
rnacentral:rRNA from 1 species